CCUACGGGAGGCUGCAGUGGGGGAUAUUGGACAAUGGGGGAAACCCUGAUCCAGCGACGCCGCGUGAGUGAAGACGUAUUUCGGUAUGUAAAGCUCUAUCAGCAGGGAAGAAAGAAAUGACGGUACCUGAGUAAGAAGCCCCGGCUAACUACGUGCAAGCAGCCGCGGUAAUACGUAGGGGGCAAGCGUUCUCCGGAAUUACUGGGUGUAAAGGGAGCGUAGACGGUAAUGCAAGUCUGGAGUGAAAGGCGGGCGCCCACCCCCCGGACUGCUCUGGAAACUGUGUAACUGGAGUGCAGGAGAGGCAGGUGGAAUGCGUAGUGUAGCGGUGAAAUGCGUAGAUAUUAGGAGGAACACCAGUUGCGAAGGCGGCAUGCUGGACUGUAACUGACGUUGAGGCUCGAAAGCGUGGGUAGCAAACAGGAUUAGAUACCCCGGUAGUC
rnacentral:rRNA from 1 species